rnacentral:rRNA from 1 species
AAGUCGUAACAAGGUUUCCGUAGGUGAACCUGCGGAAGGAUCAUUACUGAAUUACUGGGGAGCUGUCGCUGACUCUUCGGAGUAUGUGCACGCUCUUCAAAUUCUUCUCAACCACCUGUGCACUUUUGUAGACUAUGAUAACUCUCAAUGUAAACCGGUCAAACGGUUUGUAUUGGAUUGAAUGGACUUGCGUUUCAGCUGGUCUUUCAAUUUUGUAGUCUAUGUUUUAUAUCCAUAUACAAAGUCUUAGAAUGUCCUUUGUGGGUCUUUUGACCUAUAAAACUUAUACAACUUUCAACAACGGAUCUCUUGGCUCUCGCAUCGAUGAAGAACGCAGCGAAAUGCGAUAAGUAAUGUGAAUUGCAGAAUUCAGUGAAUCAUCGAAUCUUUGAACGCACCUUGCACUCCUUGGUAUUCCGAGGAGUAUGCCUGUUUGAGUGUCAUUAAAUUCUCAAACCUUUAUUGGCUUUAUUGACAAUAGAGGCUUUGGAUGUGGGGGUUGCUGGCUUAGGAAAGUCAGCUCUCCUUAAAUGCAUUAGUGGUUACUGUUCUCCACUUCUUUGGUGUGAUAAUUAUCUACGCCUCAGGUGGUGAUGUUAAGUGUAGCUGCUUUCUAACCGUCCAAUUCAUUUGGACAACUUGAACCANUUGACCUCNAAUCAGGUAGGACUACCCGCUGAACUUAAGCAUAUCAUAAGCGGAGGAAAAGAGACUAACAAGGAUUCCCCUAGUACUGCGAGUGAGCGGGAAAAGCUCAAAUUUAAAAUCUGGUGGUUCUUGCAGCCAUCCGAGUUGUAAUUUAGAGAAGUGUUAUCCGCGCUGGACCGUGUACAAGUCUCCUGGAAUGGAGCGUCAUAGAGGGUGAGAAUCCCGUCUUUGACACGGACUACCAGGGCUAUGUGAUGCGCUCUCGAAGAGUCGAGUUGUUUGGGAAUGCAGCUCAAAAUGGGUGGUAAAUUCCAUCUAAAGCUAAAUAUUGGCGAGAGACCGAUAGCGAACAAGUACCGUGAGGGAAAGAUGAAAAGAACUUUGGAAAGAGAGUUAAACAGUACGUGAAAUUGUUGAAAGGGAAACGCUUGAAGUCAGUCGCGUUGGCUGGGGAUCAACCUUGCUCUUUUGCAUGGUGUACUUCCUAGUCGAUGGGUCAACAUCAGUUUUGAUUGUUGGAUAAAGAUUAGAGGAAUGUGGCAUCUUCGGAUGUGUUAUAGCCUUCGGUUGUAUACAACAGUUGGGACUGAGGAACUCAGCACGCCGCAAGGCCGGGUUUUUAACCACGUACGUGCUUAGGAUGUUGGCAUAAUGGCUUUAAUCGACCCGUCUUGAAACACGGACC